rnacentral:rRNA from 1 species
GACGAACGCUGGCGGCGUGCUUAACACAUGCAAGUCGAACGGAAAGGCCCUGCUUUUGCGGGGUGCUCGAGUGGCGAACGGGGGAGUAACACGUGAGUAACCUGCCCCUGACUUUGGGAUAACUUUAGGAAACUGGGGCUCAUACAGGAUAGGAGCUCUUGCUGCAUGGGGGGGGUUGGAAAGAUUCGGCGGUUGGGGAUGGACUCGCGGUUUAUCAGCUUGUUGGUGGGGUAGUGGCUUACAAGGGCUUUGACGGGUAGCCGGCCUGGGAGGGUGACCGGCCACAUUGGGACUGAGGUACGGCCCAGACUGCUACGGGAGGCAGCAGUGGGGAAUAUUGCACAAUGGGCGGAAGCCUGAUGCAGCAACGCCGCGUGCGGGAUGACGGCCUUCGGGUUGUAAACCGCUUUCGCCUGUGACGAAGCGUGAGUGACGGUAAUGGGUAAAGAAGCACCGGCUAACUACGUG